rnacentral:rRNA from 1 species
AGCGGCGGACGGGUGAGUAACGCGUGGGUAACCUGCCUCAUACAGGGGGAUAACAGUUAGAAAUGACUGCUAAUACCGCAUAAGACCACAGUACUGCAUGGUACAGUGGUAAAAACUCCGGUGGUAUGAGAUGGACCCGCGUCUGAUUAGCUGGUUGGUGGGGUAACGGCCCACCAAGGCGACGAUCAGUAGCCGGCCUGAGAGGGUGAACGGCCACAUUGGGACUGAGACACGGCCCAAACUCCUACGGAAGGCAGCAG